AUACGAGGGGUGCAAGCGUUGUUCGGAAUUACUGGGCGUAAAGGGAGCGUAGGCGGAGAUUCAAGCGGAUUGUACAAUCCCGGGGCCCAACCCCGGCUCUGCAGUCCGAACUGGAUCUCUUGGAUAGUUCAGGGGCAGGCGGAAUUCCUGGUGUAGCGGUGGAAUGCGUAGAGAUCAGGAAGAACACCGAUGGCGAAGGCAGCCUGCUGGGGACUUAUCGACGCUGAGGCUCGAAAGUGCGGGUAGCAAACAGGAUUAGAUACCCUGGUAGUCCGCACCGUAAACGAUGCAUACUGGGUGUCCGGGGGUUCCCCCGGGUACCGUAGCCAACGCGUUAAGUAUGCCGCCUGGGGAGUACGUACGCAAGUAUGAAACUUAAAGGAAUUGACGGGG
rnacentral:rRNA from 1 species